rnacentral:rRNA from 1 species
ACUCCUACGGGAGGCAGCAGUGGGGAAUAUUGGACAAUGGGGGAAACCCGUAGCAUCCAGCCAUGCCGCGUGUGUGAAGAAGGCCUUCGGGUUGUAAAGCACUUUCAGUGGGGAGGAAAGGUUGAUGGUUAAUACCUAUCAGCUGUGACGUUACCCACAGAAGAAGCACCGGCUAACUCCGUGCCAGCAGCCGCGGUAAUACGGAGGGUGCAAGCGUUAAUCGGAAUUACUGGGCGUAAAGCGUGCGCAGGCGGUCUGUUAAGCGAGA